AACAGCUCUUUUUCAGCUGGGGCCUGGCUUGCUGUCUCUGACUGGAGCAGAGGAAGGAUUUAAAGAGGAAAGCUCACAAAGAAGGGACUUAAAUCCAGAAUUCUGCAGCUGGACUACAG